UCUCCUAUAAAAGCGCCCUGCACCAUCAGCUAGUCCUCACUCCUCUGCUGCUCACAAGUUGUGCUGAGUGGAUACUAAAAUGAAAGCCGCCAUCUCACGGUUCAUGAUGAUAACCCCUCCAUGGGUUGAAUUCCACCAGAGGGCACCAUGGGCCCCUGAGACUGAAGAGACACAAGUCGGCUAGUGUAGCUACCAAAGGUGUGCCAAGUUGGUGUCAGCUGCACAACAUCUAGAAAAGAUGAUGCAGAUUCACAUUGCUGGAGACCCAGUUCUUGUAAUUGGAGGAUCAGUUAAAGGGGUGUGUCCAACAUCACUCAAUGCCACAUGAGGAUAUGUAAAACCUAGCUGUUGGAAGAUUCUCAUUGCAAUGUGUUGAGUCUGCAAAUUCCCUUAAUGGGAUUGUGAUGGUCAUGCACAGGAUGUCUCAAAGGCAUGGUUCUAUGUGUUCACUUUGGAGGCCCUGUUGAAGGAGACUGACAAAAGGAAAAAGCUUCACCCCUCACUAAUAUAGGAAUGAUGCUGUCAAGUCCAAUUGCCCAGAGUGGCAAGCCCUACACCUCACUCUGAAAUGCUGUAAGGUGUUGGCUGUGGAAAACCUGCAAUGUCAAGACUAUGCCAUUUGAUGUAGAACAUGAAUAAAAAAAUAAAAAACUAAAGAACA